CUUCGGCUGGUGCUGUGUACCCAAAGCUCCUUCAUGCUCUGUGUUAUGCAUUUAUGUGUGUUUCAGAACAAGCAUCUCCAGUGUUCUUCUCUGGAGAGAAGUAAUGCUGGGGGAUAGAUUAUGGAGACCCUGGCUACUUUGGAGGGCACUUUUGGGGAGUAGGGAGGGGAGCUUGUUUGACUUGGGGACCAGCCAUGUGAGUCUCCUAGACUCAUGGGUAACCUCCAGAGGGAAGGCUAAAGCAGAGAUUUCUGGGCAGCAGUUUAUGUGUGGACUGUGUAGUCUGAUUCUUCCCCUUUUCUUUCUAAAUUUUUUCCCUGUACUUGCCUCAAGAUGUACCCCCUGGACUGUUAUUAAUCUCAGUCUCCCCAUGC
rnacentral:lncRNA from 1 species